CACCCAUUGCCAGUCGAGCGGGACGAGUUUCUGAACCUUCGGGGAACGAUAACGGCGUCGAGCGGCGGACGGGUGAGUAAUGCCUAGGAAAUUGCCCUGAUGUGGGGGAUAACCAUUGGAAACGAUGGCUAAUACCGCAUAACGCCUACGGGCCAAAGAGGGGGACCUUCGGGCCCUCUCGCGUCAGGAUAUGCCUAGGUGGGAUUAGCUAGUUGGUGAGGUAAGGGCUCACCAAGGCGACGAUCCCUAGCUGGUCUGAGAGGAUGAUCAGCCACACUGGAACUGAGACACGGUCCAGACUCCUACGGGAGGCAGCAGUGGGGAAUAUUGCAAAUGGGCGCAAGCCUGAUGCAGCCAUGCCGCGUGUGUGAAGAAGGCUUUCGGGUUGUAAAGCACUUUCAGUCGUGAGGAAGGAAGUGAGUUAAUAGCUGCGUUAUUUGACGUUCGCGACAGAAGAAGAACGGUUACUUCGUGCCAGCAGCCGCGGUAAUCCGGAGGGUGCGAGCGUUAAUCGAAUUCUGGCCUAAAGCGCAUGCAGUGGUUUGUUAUGUCAGAUGUAAAUCCGAGCUCCACCUCGAAUGCAUUUAAACUGUAGAUUGAGACCGUGAGAGGGUAGAAUUUAGUGUAGCGUCGAAUGCGUGAGAUCUGAAGGAUACGAUUGCGAGCGCCCCCGGCCGAUCUGAAUCAGAGCGAACCGGGGGCAUCGAUAGAACCUGGAGUCCCGUAUAAGUACUGAGUUGGCCUGCCGGCUCGGCGACUUAAGACUCCAGGUACCGCGGUAAUUUAAAUACGGGCCGCUUGCGCGAUUGAUAUCUGUCACCGGAUAUCACUCUCUAUUGAGUGCUCGAGAUGUUUUUUUUGAGCUGAAGUGCUGUCUUUGCAACAAGUACUAACUGUAACUCCCAUACGUCGCACGCAU
rnacentral:rRNA from 2 species